UCUAUUCUGUUUCUGAAAUGGUAUCAUCAAGUUUUGUUUGGUUUUGGUGUUUUUGCAGCAAGUGCUGCAUGCUCUUUUCUUUCCAAUUUCCUGGUCAAAGUCUAAAAUAGAAAUUGCAGAUUAGAAAAUCCUUUGAGAAUGGGGUUCAGCAAGUGAAACUGUUUGAAGGAGAUUAAAAUGAAAUUAGUUCAGAAAGGAUACUGCUCAAGAUCAUUUUAAGAUUUUCCAAAGCUCACCAGCUUGUUGACCUGUAAACCACCUUUAGCUGGACAGAUGACCCAAAGAGUGCAAACGUGCCCCAAGAAGAGAGAACAGAAUGAGAAGAUAAGCCAAGCUGCCAGCCCUGUGUCUGACUGUUGGAUUGGGAUUCAGGGCAGGAGUUAGGAUGCUUCACAUCCCAACAGCUGCACUCUGUCUUCAGGAUCUGAGAAACUGGACAAGACAACUGAAAAGGAAUCCAGUUGUUUAAGCUUCGGCUGGGAUUGUGUUUAUAUUUGUUUUGCUUGUAGCCUUUCGUUUCCAGCCUUGCAACUAAGAGCCUGACCUUGUCUUGCUUAAUAAACCUCAUGUAGAAGCUUUA